rnacentral:lncRNA from 1 species
UCGGAUGUGUAAGGCUCAAAACGACACCGUUUUUGGGUCUCUGAGACUUAACCUCUAAACGGCGUCGUUUUAUUCUCUUAUUUAAACCAAUUUUUUUUAAAUCAGCCAUUUCCACCACUCUAUUUAAAAAAAAACAGAGAAAAGGGAGGCUUUUCUCUCUAUCCCUGCCUUGGCCAGCUCAUGGGGGUUAUCGGUGCUUCAUGCACCUCCACCUCUGCCGAAAGUGAAUUCAGGUAAGCUUCCCUUUCCUUUUAUUUUUUGCCCCUUUUUUUAUUUAAAAUAGAUUUGUAAAAAACAAAAAUAAACAAAAUAAUAAAAAGGAAACAUGAACACGAAGAGAAAUCCCCAAAAAAGAUUAAAAAAUGACACCUUUUAAACUUUGGAUCUGAUUCUUUUGAUUGCUAUUGUGCCCUUUUUUUGUAUUGAUUUUUGUUCGCAGUCAAAUACAAUCAAAAUCAAAAUGGCUUUAUAGCCGAACGAAAAAUAGAGAAAAAUACAAAAUUUCGCUCCUUUGUGCUUGCUAUUUUUCCUGUUGUUUUCGUAUGAUUUGUAGGUACAAAGCCAGCUGUGGUGUAUGGAGGAGGCGACGUGGAGCGUACGGAGACGAAGGGCGCUGGCAGCCGUACAUGGGGGUGUUGGCUGCGGCGCAAGGGAGCCCUAGGGUUCUGAGAUAUUUUUUUAUUUUUGGGCCUGUUGGGCCGUGUAACUUUGGGCUUAGUGUUUGUUUGGAUUUAGGGUUAAUGAUUUAGGCUUGUGGGGUGCUUGGACAUUUGUAUUUGAGAUUUCUAAUUUGGGCUGGUUAUUUGUGUUUGUAAUAUCUUUGGUUUUAUUUUAUUAUUUUGUUUUUUUAUUUUGGUUUUGGUAUGGGUCCGAGCAAAUUAGGCCUGUUACAAAUACGAUUAUCAGAUCUGAAGCUCAGGCUGUUGUCAAGGCUUAUGUUAUUCAAGUUCAUGAGAAAGUUGUUUUUUCUGAUGUCAUUCAUG